GAUGAACGCUGACAGAAUGCUUAACACAUGCAAGUCUACUUGAACUUCGGUUUGGGUGGCGGACGGGUGAGUAACGCGUAAAGAACUUGCCUCACAGUUAGGGACAACAUUUGGAAACGAAUGCUAAUACCUGAUAUUAUGAUUUUAGGGCAUCCUAAGAUUAUGAAAGCUAUAUGUGCUGUGAGAGAGCUUUGCGUCCCAUUAGCUAGUUGGAGAGGUAACGGCUCACCAAGGCGAUGAUGGGUAGCCGGCCUGAGAGGGUGAACGGCCACAAGGGGACUGAGACACGGCCCUUACUCCUACGGGAGGCAGCAGUGGGGAAUAUUGGACAAUGGACCAAAAGUCUGAUCCAGCAAUUCUGUGUGCACGAUGACGUUUUUCGGAAUGUAAAGUGCUUUCAGUUGGGAAGAAAAAAAUGACGGUACCAACAGAAGAAGUGACGGCUAAAUACGUGCCAGCAGCCGCGGUAAUACGUAUGUCACAAGCGUUAUCCGGAUUUAUUGGGCGUAAAGCGCGUCUAGGUGGUUAUGUAAGUCUGAUGUGAAAAUGCAGGGCUCAACUCUGUAUUGCGUUGGAAACUGCAUGACUAGAGUACUGGAGAGGUAAGCGGAACUACAAGUGUAGAGGUGAAAUUCGUAGAUAUUUGUAGGAAUGCCGAUGGGGAAGCCAGCUUACUGUACAGAUACUGACGCUGAAGCGCGAAAGCGUGAGUAGCAAACAGG
rnacentral:rRNA from 1 species